GUCUAUGGCCAUGCUACCCUGAACAAGCCCGAUCCCAUCUGACCUCAGAAGAUAAGCAGAGUCGGGCCUAGUUAGUAUUGGAUGGGAGACAACCUAGGAAGACCAGGUGCUGUAGGUG
rnacentral:rRNA from 1 species